CAACAUUAAGAAACCUUUCACCUUCUUCCUAUUGACUUGCCGAUCCUACAACGAAUUAUAAAUAUUAAAAAGACUUUCAAUAUCUAAUACCCAGAUAAUAGAAUCAUAAAUUGAGAAAUUACAAGGUGUUAUCAUAUAAUUACCUUAUCCAGCAACAACUUGCUUCUUUCUUGACUUGUUCGGAUCCAGGGAGGCAAUGUAUUGAGGACAAUUCCUCUUCCAGUUCUCCUACUUCUUGCAGUAGAAGUAUUUUACUUGACUCU
rnacentral:lncRNA from 1 species